rnacentral:rRNA from 1 species
CCCGGGUCUUGUACACACCGCCCGUCACGCCAUGGGAGCGGGAUGUACCAGAAGUAGGUAGGCUAACCGCAAGGGGGCCGCUUACCACGGUGCGUUUCGUGACUGGGGUG